rnacentral:rRNA from 1 species
GACAUACGUGGAUAUAUGGAAGACCACCAGUGGGGAAGACGUCUGUUUGGUCUGUAACUGACUCUGUGGCUCGAAAUCAUGGGUAGCGAACACGAUUAGAUACCCUGUUAGUCCAUCCCGUAAACGAUGAAUGCUAGGUGUUGCAGGGUUUCCUCUCUUUCAGUGCCGCAGAUAACGCAUUAAGCAUUCCGUCCCGGGGAGUACGACCGCAAGAUUGAAGCUCAAAGAAUUAGACGGGGGGCCGCACAAGCGGUGGAGCAUGUGGUUUUAUUUGAAGCAACUCGAAGACCCUUACCGGGUCUAGACAUCUUUGGAUCCCCCGCGAGACCAGGUUUCCCCUUCGAGGGCAAAACGACACGUGGUGCAUGGUUUUCGUCAGAUCGUGUCGGGAGAUGUAGGGUUUAGUCCCGCAGCGAGCGCAACCCUUAUGACUAGUUGCCAGCAUUUAGUUGGGCACUCUAGUAAGACUGCCGGUGACAAACCGGCGGAAGACGGUGAUGACAUCAGAUCAUCAAUCUCAUUAUGACCUGGGCUAAACUCGUGCUACAAUGGAUGGUACAACGAGUUGCGAGACCGCGAGGUCAAGCUAAUCUCUUAAAGCCAUUCUCAGUUCGGACUGUAGGCUGCAACUCGCCUACACGAAGUCGGAAUCGCUAGUA